AAGUUGAAAUCCUUCAUGAGCAGUUAUACAAUGUACUAAGAAAGGAUGGCUAUAUCCUUGGAUUGUUUCUUGUAAAAAUGCUGAAAUGCACACAGAAAACAGUUUUCUCUAGGAAACAAAAAAUAGAAGAACAGUGCCAUUCCAGUGUUUUGUAAAGUGAGAUCUGAAAAGAGAAAUGCUGGGAAUUAUGAAAACGUUUCAAAAUGAAAAGUUGGAAAUGAAUUUGAACGAAACCUUUUGGCUCACGAAUGGCUCUCAGGUUUCUUGACCCCAUCUUCUCUGCCAGCUAUGCCUGACUGCUGGUAAAUGGCAGCCUGAAAGCCUUGAGGUCCAAGUGGUGAGGCAGAAACAGAUAUAUCAUGAGCAGGAUUGGGGUGUGAACAAAGUGAGCUCCAGCUUUGUUUCCUUUGCCAGCACUGCUGUGUGCAGCCGUUGGGGCUGUACAGAAUGUCUCAGUAUUGCUGUGGGACGAGCAAACAGCAGAAGGUUGAGCCUGCUGCAAGGUGGAGGUGAAGAAAUGCGCAUCCAUCCUUUUUUGCCUUCUUGUUGCAGAACUCACCAACAAGACCAUUCAGGACUGAAUUCAUUUCCAGCAGGGAGCGAAUGGUUUGUUGGAACCUGGGGAGGCAGAGCCGCGGGCUGGGACCCGUGCAGGAUGAGUGGGGAUGUGGAUACAGUGAGAUGUGAGCCAAUGACCCCGAGGACUGAAUAAUUCGGAGCCUUUUCAGAAGGCAGAGCUGUGCCUUUCGGGGCUGCACGUGUGGAAAUGCUCAUCUGCUGCCACCGCAGUGGGAAGGGCUUCUGGUCCUGUGCUCUAACGUUGUCCCACUUCUACUUUAACAUGAAAUUAAAGUCUCCCUUAAAAUUAACCUCGUGAGAAUUUAAAGUGAGCAAGCGCGCUUUAUUUUUAUGCAAGAUGUGUGGCUGGCCCCCUAAAUGGCUCCUCAAAUCAUAUUGAUGUGGGUAUCCCACCCAUUUCUAUGGCAGGUGGGGGGUAGCACUGCGAGCGAGCGUUUCCAAUGGAAAUGGGAAAAUAAUAGUGAUGAUCUUUGAGUGAACUUGGGUGGUGUUUGAGAAGUACGGUAUUAUCAGAGCUAAACAGAAGGUGGUCCAUGCAAAGGAUUUCAAUUGAGCUGUUUUGAGAAAUUGACACGUACUUUGAAGUUCUCUGGAGGAAGAUUUUUCCUCUGCCUUUCUUCCCUCGGGGAAAAAAAAAGCCACACAUUUGAACAGAAUUUAUCAUUUCUUGUAAUAUUUUCUAUUUUUAGGGUAUGUCUGUGUUCAGUAUGGAAGGACUGAAAAAAAUCUGUGAUUUUUCUUUAAGAUGUGGAGAUGU
rnacentral:lncRNA from 1 species